rnacentral:misc_RNA from 1 species
GAAAUGCGAUAAGUAAUGUGAAUUGCAGAAUUCAGUGAAUCAUCGAAUCUUUGAACGCACAUUGCGCCCGCCAGUAUUCUGGCGGGCAUGCCUGUUCGAGCGUCAUUUCAACCAUCAAGCCCCGGGCUUGUGUUGGGGACCUGCGGCUGCCGCAGGCCCUGAAAACCAGUGGCGGGCUCGCUGUCACACCGAGCGUAGUAGAUUCUCAUCUCGCUCAGGGCGUGCUGCGGGUUCCGGCCGUAAAACAGCCUUAUUUUGCCCAAGGUUGACCUCGGAUCAGGUAGGAAGACCCGCUGAACUUAAGC